AAUACGGAGGGGGCGAGCGUUAUUCGGAAUUAUUGGGCGUAAAGGGCGCGUAGGCGGCGCACCAAGUCAGGUGUGAAAGCCCUGGGCUUAACCCAGGAAUUGCGUUUGAGACUGGCGUGCUGGAGUGCAGGAGAGGUCGGCGGAAUUCCCAGUGUAGAGGUGAAAUUCGUAGAGAUUGGGAAGAACACCGGUGGCGUAGGCGGCCGACUGGACUGUAACUGACGCUGAGGCGCGAAAGCGUGGGGAGCAAACA
rnacentral:rRNA from 1 species